UACGUAGGGUGCGAGCGUUAAUCGGAAUUACUGGGCGUAAAGCGUGCGCAGGCGGCUUCGCAAGUCAGACGUGAAAUCCCCGGGCUUAACCUGGGAAUGGCGUUUGAAACUACGGAGCUGGAGUGUGGCAGAGGGAGGUAGAAUUCCACGUGUAGCGGUGAAAUGCGUAGAUAUCGGGAGGAACACCAGUGGCGAAGGCGACUUCCUGGCCUGUUCUUGACGCUGAGGCGCGAAAGCUAGGGGAGCAAACGGG
rnacentral:rRNA from 1 species